AUUCGUGAGAGGUGCAAUGGCGCAGGCAACCAAGGAACCUUGCAAGAAAGAGGCCUGUGACAUUCAAGCUUGCCUCUCCAAGAACAACUUUCUUCCACAAAAUUUUCCAAACAAAGCGUCGAUUGAAGCGUAGAUGUAAACUAGGAAAACAUUUGAAUCAUGGUCUCGCAAUAACCACAAGUUGCAAUCAGCAUCCUCAGUUAAUACUGAUUGUUUUGUACCAAAGCUUGUUGAAGAAGAAAAACGAAUUAAAGAUAAAAUGACAUUAUUUCUUUGUUUCAUUUUGUUAGUAUUGUGAUUGCAAGUUUUCUCUCUCGUUUACUAGUCUGGUGUAGGAAAUGAUUGCUGCUAAAGCUACCAAUUGGUUAGCUGUGCGAAGUAUUGUUUAGACCCCUUACAAAUGAAACAUUAUGUGUCUAUAUUUAGGUUGUUCCAACAAUAGGAUCUAAUACAUUGGAUUACUAAUUUAAGAUUUGAGGUUAUAUCUUAGUUAGUAGACGAGAGGGAAGUUUCAACAAUAGAUGCCAACUUUUAAAUGAUUUCCUUAUGUUUCUUGAUUAUAAUUUUUUAUGUAUUCGGCAAAUCGUUUCAGUUGCUAAGGGUGGUUUUCCCUAUUUGUCUCAAGUAAGACAAACUGCUUAGGUCUUGCAUGUCAAUUUUUUGUGCUUAAUACAUGUAACCAGUAUCAAUGGCAGUCCAAUUUUAUUUAUGGAGUUGUUUGGACUGUGCUCGCUGCAGUAACAAGUAACAAUAUUAACUUGCUACAUAUAAUAUCCUUCAUUAAUGAGCUCUAAAUGGUUUACCUGAGCACUUGCACCAAGGAGAAAUACCAGAUUUUGGAAGACUAGGUUCAGUCAUUUAGGAAAAUGUAUGCUAGAGUUGACCUGAGCUCUAAAUUGUUGACCUGAGCGCUUACACCAAAGAGAAAUACCAGAUUUCUAUCUAGAUUGAAAGACUAGGUUCAGUCAUUUAGGAGAAUUUACGCUAGAGUUUGUAGCUGGAAGCUUGCAGUGCUAGCAUUCUAAUGGUGUUUUAUUAGAGAUUGUCACCUUUCAGUUAGUAGUUAGUUGGGCAUCCCCUCUGCAACCUCAUAAAAUACCUCGUCUAAUACUAGUAGAAAGAUCUUUGAAUGAAUAUUCUUCUCCAUCUGCUUUGGAGUUUGUCUCUUUAUGUGCGACAUGCCUCUGAAAAGCAGUGUCCACAUCCAUUGCUCCUUGAGCAAGACUCUCAUCUUGAUUCUCCAUAAGUUUAAACUGUUUUUCUCAUUAAACUUCUUAAUCUUGGAUGUGAUACCCAUCUUCUUGCAAGAACUUGUUACAAAUGCAAAAUGAGAUCAAAAACCGGCUCUAACACCAUUCUCUUGUGCACCUAGUGUGUAAAAAAGUUUAUACGAUUUUUGUUAAAUCAAGAGGGGGUUGAAUUGAUUUUGAAACUUUUUUUGAAAAGAAUAUAUUUCUUUAAGUUCUUUCCAAAAGACAAAGUUUGAGAAUUCAUUUGAUAGAAGAAUUGAAAAACAAUACCAAGGAAGAGAUAAAGCAAGGGAAAGAUCACUCAACAAAUUUAUACUAGUUCAGACCCAACCAAUUCUACAUUCAGUUUUCAACUUUUUCUCCCUUGAAAAACUGGUUCCACUAUUAAAUAAAUGUUGGUUCGAAACAAAACAACAAUUACAAACACAAGACAACAAUACCACAAAUCUCACUUAAAAAGGAUUUUCAGUUUCUAUCUACUCUUGAUCAUCCAGGAGGAUAUAUGCUUUAUCAACUCUUGUUACAAAUACCACAAAACAAUAUUGAUACAAAUCAACAACCGUAGGAUUGAAAAGAAUUUACCAAAGCACACAAGGAAUUAAGAAUUCAACACAACCUUUGAAUCUUGAAAGCACUUAAAAAAAUUGUGUAAAACAACUUUGCUAAUCUCAAUGUAUUACGCUCUAUAUGAUUGCAAAAGUUAUGAAGCUUUAAAAACACUGAUUAAAAACUGGUGCUAUCGCAUUUAAUUGAUUAAAUCAAGUUGUUAAUCGAUUAUCUUAACUGAAUUUUGGAAAAUAGUUACAACGUCUUUCUGGAAUGAUUGAUUAUAGAUCAUGUUAAUUGAUUGACUGAGAGUAAACUGGAAUGAAGCUGAACGGAGAAUGUAGUACAAAGAAACUUCAUGAACUGAGAAUAGUGAUGAAUUGGAAUAAUGCACCGAUUCAAACCACCAAAAACUGAAGCGGAAGCAAUUGCAAGGUGGAACAAGAACUAAAUCAAUGAGAGCUUUUAAGAAUCUGGAUCAGUGAAAAAAUGAUCUGGAUACCAUCUUAAAUAAUUUGAAUAGAGGAGAGAGAGAAAGAGUGAACGAUGAACUAAACGAUUUUUAUUUCUAUUCACUCACUUUGAAUCAUAUGUACAAUAUGUAUUUAUAGAUGCAGUCUUCAGUUAAAUGCCAACAGAAACUGAUAGUUGUACAUAAUAGAAAGAAAAAGUUUACAAUAAUAACUGUUAGAUAUAUUAUAUUAUUAGAUAUUUUAGAUAGAUAUCUUAUCUUUAUAUUUUAUCUUUAGUUAGUUUGUUAUUAUUCUUCUUUUGUAUUUUGGGUUUAGUCCAUAUUUUUUCUAUUAUAAAUAGAGUAUUCUAUGUAUAUAUUCAACACAAAGGAGAUUAAUUUCAUACAUAGUUUUCACUAUAUUCAACAAUAACAAACACACAUCUACACAAUGCAAAGAUAACAAGUCAACUAUAGUAUAUUAGGAAAAGAGAGAAAAAGAUCUUUGGCAGACAUCAACUAAUUAAUAAUAGCUUUACAUUGUUAAGAUACUUAGACAUGGCCCCCAUUUCCUUUUUGCAAAAUUAAAGUUGACACAAUUUUGCUCAAGUUGACAUGGAAGAAGUUGUGUAUUUGUCAAAAUUUCCAUCAAUGAACACAUUCAAACAAGUGCGGAAGUAUUGAAUCUGAAGUGGUGUAUACGAUGAUCUCAGCUGAGAUGAGAUACUCACACAAACAUAAUGGCAAAUUCACAUUAAAAGAGACCGAGUAACAUAAGGGCAACAAUGGGUUUCUUCAAUUGAUGUGCAUCCAUUCUCUUUGGGGAUAUAACAAAUUUAGAUAGAUAAAGCUCCUUUGUAUAUAGCUUUGUCUCAGCUUCUAUUCAGUAAUCAAACACAUGUCCAUUAGAGUUUUGUUUUCUCUUAUGGCAAGUUAUGACACAGAGCUUGAACAGUUGGACAUUAAGUUGACCUUUCUAUGUGGCCAUUUAGAUGGAGAGACUCUGAUGUGUAAGUUGAAAGGUUUUAGAGCUGAGGGUAAAGUUUAUGUGUGUAAAUUGGAGAGAUCAUUGUAUAGACUAAAACAAUAUUUGCAUCUAUCAUAAGAAGGUGGAGAAUGGUGAAUGAGUUUUGUUUACCUAUUGUUGU